GCUUAUGUAGUUUAGAAAAAUAUUGGUCUUGUAAACCAAAGAACGGGGAUUAAUAUCCCCCAAAAGCUU
rnacentral:tRNA from 1 species